ACACACUUUAAUGUUAUCCUAAUUUCAUCACAUACUUUAUUUUAUUAGAGUAAAUAAGAUGUGGCAGAGUGAUAAGGAUACUCCUAAAGUCUACCUUGGUGAACUUCCUAAGUUUCAUACACUCAUAUUUGCAGGCUCACUGCAGCUUAGAAAUGGCACAAAAUCCACAGAAGACAUACCCAUACCCAUGCACAUGAUGAAAGUGGCUUUGCUUGACAAAAAAAAAAAAAAAAAAAGAAAGAAAAAAAAGAAAAAAGAAAAAAAAAAAGAAAGAAGAAGAAAAAGAAACAAACAAAAAUUUCCUCCUUAAGAACUAGGAGUGGUCUCUUGAGACUGUUUUGCUGGAUUUGGUAGACUGCUAUGUGCAAAGAUCACAUUCUUGAGGUUGUGGUCGUGCUAAAGGGGUAAGAACAGAGGAAGAGGAAAGAUUCUGAACAAAGAAGAUUUAAGUUGACUAGCAGGGAGAAAAAUCUUCACAGAGGAGUCUGUAAAUUCAAGAGAAGUGGUGGGAGUCCUCACUGGAAUACUUGGAGAAGAACUACACAGAAUAACAGAGGCCCUUCUGUGGGGAACCAUCUCAAGUUGGCAGUUGCUCAGACAAGUCCACCCACCGGGACCAGAGGCACUUACAGGCUCCAUGGCUCUCUGAGCUUCUGGUAAGUACUCCCUGCCUACCAUCUCUCAGGAAAAUGGCCUGCGAGCCCCUAAGUCCUUCUCAUGCAACAGAUUCCCACCCGUGCUCUGUUGCACCUGAAACUGAGCAAGCAUGAGAACCCUUGAAAAGAAUCCUAUGAGCUCAUUGAUUUUAUCCAUACAGAUAUCUUUUUUUCUUCACAAAAUAUUUGUACAAAAGUAGCAUUUCCAUCCCCUGUCAUCAGCUAAUAAAUCUAGUAUUUUCUUAGGGUUCUAUUCA
rnacentral:lncRNA from 1 species